rnacentral:rRNA from 1 species
AGAGUUUGAUCAUGGCUCAGGAUGAACGCUGGCGGUGUGCCUAACACAUGCAAGUCGAACGAAGCCUUCGGGCUUAGUGGCGGACGGGUGAGUAACACGUUAGUACCUGCCCUUUAGUGGGGAAUAACUCGGCGAAAGUCGGGCUAAUACCGCAUACGAUCCUUCGGGAUGAAAGCUAUAUAGCGCUAAAGGAGGGGCUUGCGUCUGAUUAGCUAGUUGGUAGGGUAAUGGCCUACCAAGGCAAUGAUCAGUAGCUGGUUCGAGAGGAUGACCAGCCACACUGGGACUGAGAUACGGCCCAGACUUUUACGGGAGGCAGCAGUGAGGAAUCUUCCGCAAUGGACGAAAGUCUGACGGAGCAACACCGCGUGCAGGAUGACGGCCUUCGGGUUGUAAACUGCUUUUAUUUGGGAAGAUUAUGACGGUACCAAAUGAAUAAGGACCGGCUAACUACGUGCCAGCAGCCGCGGUAAUACGUAGGGUCCAAGCGUUAUCCGGAAUCACUGGGCGUAAAGCGUGCGUAGGUGGUAAUUUGCGUGCAGUGCGAAAUUGUGUGGCUCAACCAUACAACGGUACUGUAUACGGGAUUACUAGAGGACAUGAGAGGCAAGUGGAAUUACUGGUGUAGCAGUGAAAUGCGUAGAUAUCAGUAGGAACACCAAUGGCGAAGGCAGCUUGCUGGCAUGUAUCUGACGCUAAGGCACGAAAGCGUGGGGAGCGAACAGGAUUAGAUACCCUAGUAGUCC